AUGCUUCAAACAUGCUGCCCAUUUUCCAGCCAUGUCCAACAAUUAAAUCAACCCAAUAUCAUAUUACAGCCCCUACAAACUAGUACAAAGAAAAUAGCAGCAUGCUGCCCAUUUUUCCAGCCUUGUUUCAACACAAACCAGUCCAAUUUUUGUGUCACUUUUGCUGUCCAAAACAGCAGCCUGGAAAAUAGUCCCAAUUCUGUCCAAAACUGCUAUAAAACAGUCUGCUUCCCUACUCCAACCUGCAUAGAAAUACCAAGCAGAACAAGACUAAAAUUACAUACAAAUGGAUAA